GAUGAACGCUGGCGGCGUGCCUAACACAUGCAAGUCGAACGAAGCGAUUUAACAGAAGUUUUCGGAUGGAAGUUGAAUUGACUGAGUGGCGGACGGGUGAGUAACGCGUGGGUAACCUGCCUUGUACUGGGGGACAACAGUUAGAAAUGACUGCUAAUACCGCAUAAGCGCACAGUAUCGCAUGAUACAGUGUGAAAAACUCCGGUGGUACAAGAUGGACCCGCGUCUGAUUAGCUAGUUGGUGGGGUAACGGCCUACCAAGGCUGCGAUGCAUAGCCGACCUGAGAGGGUGAUCGGCCACACCGGGACUGAGACACGGCCCAG
rnacentral:rRNA from 1 species